UUGGCCAGAGGGGGGCAGAAGAUCUUUUGAAUGAAUGAUUGAUAGUGAACACAGACCUCACCCGAUGGCCUUGUUGUUUAAAGUUUAACAAUGUUUUUCACAUUCAGUGGACAUUUAUCAACGUUAACAUUCAGUUGGAGUCGUGUUCAUGGCCACCUGAAUGAAUGUAAGUGUGAAAGGUGUUAGGUCCGGUGGGGAGACGGAGGGCCCCGGAGAAGCCCCUUAGGACUGUUCAACAGAAACCAUACCGGGGGCAGAUGAUUCACAUCUGCUGCGACGUGACCGCAAGAACCCAUUGAAUGAAAAUUAGUAUCAACAUGGACGGAGCUGCAGAAGAGUGGAGCACUGAGGGAGGACCAGCGAGAGGACAAGCACACAGUCAACUCGACAGACGAAAGGGAGGCUCCCAGAUGUUCCUGAGGAGAGAUCUAUGCCAGCGGCUCAUGCAGGAAUGCAGAUUCCCUGGGAAACCAAAAAGUCUCCCUGUUCAGCCUCAGCUCCUGAUAGAUUGACACGAUCAUGACCUCACUACUGUCAGGAUACCUCAGGCCGUGGCUGUCACUGUCUCAUAUCAAAGAGCACGAAAAUAGUUCUGGGCUUUUAUGGUUUUUUGGUUGGGCGGAGCAGUUAAUGGUGGAGGAAGUACAAAAGAUUCCGUCCAAAAAGGACAAUAUUUUGAGUUGGGAUUUUUUUUUUUUUUUCAAGUAUUUGCAGUGAAAUGCAUUGAAAUAAAAGUACAUGUUGUCAAAGAAACCUCUCAAGGUCAAGCUCAAGGAAACUUGUUGGCUAAUCUUUUUUUAAUGCAGUGAUUAGAUGCAUUUCCAGCCAGAAGUGCCCAGAACUUUUAGUCCCUGGAUCUACUUUUCCACGAAAUAAACG